rnacentral:rRNA from 1 species
UACGUAGGGAGCAAGCGUUUGUCCGGAAUCAUUGGGCGUAAAGCGCGCGUAGGCGGCCCGGUAAGUCCGUUGUAAAAGUCAAAGGCUCAACCUUUGAAAGCCGAUGGAUACUGCCGGGCUAGAAUCCGGAAGAGGCGAGUGGAAUUCCUGGUGUAGCGGUGGAAUGCGCAGAUAUCAGGAAGAACACCCGGUGGCUAAGGCGGCUCUCUAGUACGGUACUGACGCUGAGACGCGAAAGCGUGGGGAGCGAACAGG